GGGGCGAGCGUUGUCCGGAGUCACUGGGCGUAAAGCGCGCGCAGGCGGCAACCUAAGUGUCGUGUGAAAGCCCCCGGCUCAACCGGGGGAGGCCAUGGCAAACUGGGUCGCUCGAGCUGCGGAGAGGCCCCUCGAAUUGCCGGUGUAGCGGUGAAAUGCGUAGAGAUCGGCAGGAAGACCAAGGGGGAAGCCAGGGGGCUGGCCGCAGGCUGACGCUGAGGCGCGACAGCGUGGGGAGCAAACCGGAUUAGAUACCCGGGUAGUCCACGCCGUAAACGAUGACCACUCGGCGUGCGGCGACAUUGACGUCGCGGCGCGCCCUAGCUCACGCGAUAAGUGGUCCGCCUGGGAACUACGAGCGCAAGCUUAAAACUCAAAGGAAUUGACGGGGGCCCGCACAAGCAGCGGAGCGUGUGGUUUAAUUCGACGCAACCCGCAGGACCUUACCCAGACUGGACAUAACGGGCAGACGGCGGAAACGUCGUCGCCUGCGGGGUCCGUCACAGGUGCUGCAUGGCCGUCGUCAGCUCGUGUCGUGAGAUGUUGGGUUAAGUCCCGCAACGAGCGCAACCCUUG
rnacentral:rRNA from 1 species